UCAGACCUUGCAGACCCGAACCCGAAUGAUCUAACCAUGAUCUACGUAAAAAUUAGGUAUAACUAAUGGGAGGUGUUAAGUGAUUAUUGUUGAAAAAAUAUCAUGUGAAUUAUGGUUAGGGGUGAAAUUCCAAUCGAAUUCGGCGUUAGCUGGGUCCCUCCGAAAUGUAUUGAGGUACAGCGGUCUAAAACUAAUAGCGUGAAUGGGUGAAACUUUUGAAUCCAAAACUUCUAUUUCACAAUUAAGAAAUUAGGGUAAAGCUCUAUUUUAGUGCGGGCUAUGAAAGUGGUACCAAGUUAAGGUAAACUUUGAAUAUAAUCUAUGAAGACUAGUUAGACAAUGGGGGAUAAGCUUCAGUGUCAAAAAGGAAACAGCCUAAACUGCCAUCAAAAAGGACCUAAAAUAACAGCUAAGUGAAAAAGAAUGUAAAUUUGCGAAGACAACCAGGAAGUUUGCUUAGUAGCAGCAAUCUUUUUAAGAAUGCGUAAUAGCUCACUAUUCGAGUUAGUUUACACCGAAAAUGAAAGGGACUAAGAGUUUUGCCGAAAUUGCAGGAGAAAUCGGUAGGGGGGCGUUCCGGUAUAAACAUGGAAGUGAGAAUGUUAGCUUGAGUAACGAAAACAUUAUUAAGAAUCUAUUGCCUUGAAAAUCUAAGGAUUUCUCCGGAAGGCUCGUCCACGGAAGUUUAGUCAUGACCUAACAUUACUCUUUAAAGUUAAGAGUUUCAUGGAUGGAAAACGGGUUAAUAUUCCUGUACCGCUUAUACUACGUAAAGGAAGACGAGUAAAAUAAAGCGGACUGAGUAGUGGUAAUCAGCUCACUUUAUUAAUAGCAUUACCAAGUUUUUUACACUUUUUUACGCUAUAUUUUUUAUUGUCUAUUUCGAUAUUUCAAGUUGCUAGGUUUUAAUGUCCAAGAAAAUUCCGUUUGAACGGUUAAAGAAAUACGCGCUUGUAGCGAUACCGACACAGGUCGAUGUGUAGAAGAUACUAAAGAGCGCAGGUUAAUUUUCCCUAAGGAACUCGGCAAAUUAACUUCGUACCCUCGGAAAAAGAAGUACAUCGACGUUGCAAUAUUAAAACGCUGGUAACUGUUUAGCAAAAACCUAGGUCUCCGCUAAGUUGUGAAACAAUGUAUUGGGGCUGAUGCCUGCCCAGUGCCAGAAGGUAGAGAAAACUUGUUCGGUCUUCCAAAGCUUGUGACCAAAACCCUGGUGAACGGCGGCCGUAACUAUAACGGUCCUAAGGUAGCGAAAUUCCUUGUCGGGUAAGUUCCGACCUGCACGAAAGGUAUAAUAAUCUGCGUACUGUCUCUGGGAGAAGCCUGGUGAAAUAGACAUGUCUGUGAAGAUGCGGACACCUUACAUCUGGACAAAGAGACCCUAUGAAGCUUCACCGUAUUUUGUUAUUGAAUCUCGAUGUCAUUUGUGCAGAAUAGGUGGGAGGAAGAUGUUGUAUAGAUCUUUAUUGCUCCAACUAUGAGAUACCACUCUUAUGAGAUCUAGUUUCUAGAUGAUAGGGAUUAAGUUUGUCCUGUAAAGAAGUCAACCCUCUUUUGAAUUAAUUAAUGAUAUUUUAUUUAAAAAUCCCGUGUCUUAAUAAUUUGCGUUCACCUGAUUUGUUCUAGUCAUGUUGUUUGUUAUUUACUUGAGGGGACAGUUGAAAUUAGUCGGUUUGACUGGGGCGG
rnacentral:rRNA from 1 species